GCGUCAUUACAACCCUCAAGCUUAGCUUGGUAUUGGGGUGUCUGCCCCCUGGGGCACACCUGGAAAGCAGCGGCGCGGCGGCCGGUCCUUCGACGUAGUAAUUACUUUUCGUUGAGAGGAUCCGGGCGUCCCAGCCGGAUAACCCCCCAUAUCUUUCAAUGGUUGACCUCGGAUCAGGUAGGGAUACCCGCUGAACUUAA
rnacentral:misc_RNA from 1 species